rnacentral:tRNA from 1 species
CAGGGAGACAACAAAAUGUUUAAUAUUAUUAUUUUGUCACCUUAGGUCGAUCGGUAUCUCACGUUCUUAAUUUAUUAAGAAUUUCAUUUCCUAAGUUUUUCUAGGUCACACCCAUUAUUUUUCCUGGGCCAUUAGCUCAGGUGGUUAGAGCGCACCCCUGAUAAGGGUGAGGUCCCUGGUUCAAGUCCAGGAUGGCCCAUAUCUCUAUGUUGGGGGUAUAGCUCAGUUGGUAGAGCGCCUGCUUUGCAAGCAGGAUGUCAGCGGUUCGAGUCCGCUUACCUCCACUGAUUACCACCUCUUCCAUAAUUUGAAGAAAGGAAAUUUUUUGAGUUGUGAUCAAAUUCUGAACGAAUCUAGCUUCCUAAUGAAUCUAUUAAGAUGCUGGACUCAUUGAAUUAAUUUUCAUUGUUUUCAGAGAACCUUGACAACUGCAUAGAUUAUUUUUAAAGACAAUAAGCAUCUUUAAUGAUGCAGAUUUAUUAUUUGUGCGAAUGCAUUAAUAACAAUUCUAUUAAGCUGAUGCUUCAA